GGGGUGCGCGUGGAGCCCGCCCCUCGGGCUGACCGCGUGGGGCCCGCACAGCGCCCUCCCUUCCCCCAACGCCCCGCGCCCGCGGGUCCUCGGUCUGCGCCUCGCCCAGCCGCUCGGGUCCCAUCGCCGCCCUCCCGGUGCCCAACAUCUCAGAAUCUACACCUCUUUUUUAGUUAAAACAACAAGAUAGGUUUUCAGAUGCCUGGAUCGCCCUGGGCUUCUAGAGGAACCGACUCAUUCUGCUCCCCCCCCUCCCUUUCUAACCCCCUUUUGUGGUCCACAGGGUUGUUUUAAGCAAAACCAAACAACCCCUCCAAAAAAAAAAAAAAAAAAAAAUGCAAACGAAAAAUUCCGGGUAAAAGCAACUAUGCCGAGACCACGUUUUCGUUGAAGCUGCCCUAAGACCAAAGAAGCCGAGACCGACCUUGAAGGAUUAGCGAUUUCUGUAACUGAAAUGUUCUAAUUUUACUGACGUUUGGUGGAGACGGUGAGAAAGAAUACAUGAGAGUUUGGCUUGGAAAAGGACAAAACAAACGAAUAAUCAUAUCUAACUUGGUUAACUGAAAAACCUAACAGCUGUAGUCCUGUCUUCUAGGCAGUGGUGUUUUGGAAAAUUACAAUAUACAAAAGUUAAGCGGGAUCCCUGGGUGGCGCAGCGGUUUGGUGCCUGCCUUUGGCCCAGGGCACGAUCCUGGAGACCUGGGAUCGAAUCCCACGUCGGGCUCCCAGUGCAUGGAGCCUGCUUCUCCCUCUGCCUCUGUCUCUGCCUCUCUCUCUCUCUGUGUGACUAUCAUAAAUAAAUAAAAAUUUAAAAAAAAAAUUUAAAAAAAAAAAAAAAAAAAAGUUAAGCCACAGAUUAUUAAUUUUCUUGUUAAAAUCUAAUAUCUAUGGGUUAAAAUAUUGUUCUUUUCCUUCCAAUUUUCCCAUGAAAGUUUGAAAUACAACCUAUUAAAAGCCAACAGACUUAAUGGCAUUUACAAGUACGUAAAACAGGUUUUGCUGAUUUUUUUAAAUAAUCUUACAGAUAAAUUAAGGAUAUCAGAGAGUUUGAUUUUAUGUAUAUAUAACUGAUUAGAGGUGGAAUAUUCAAACAAAUUCAUUUUGAAAACAAUACAAUUCAAGUAACUUGCCACAGAGUGGCCUUAUCAGAGUGACUAUGCAAUGUAAUAUGAAGUUGCAAGCUUUGGAUUUUGAAUUGAGCCAUGGAUAUACAAAUAUAAAUAUGCAAAUAAAUUACUGUUUUCAAAAAUCAAACUAGGGUGGAUAUAAAGUUAAGAAAGCAGAGUCUGUGGUGUAAAGGGAAGUCAAAGUAUUUAAAGCACUUGUAACCGGAAAAGCCUGUAUGAACCAGAAGAUAUCUAGAUUCACUAUAGUAAAUAGUUAACAUUUCUCUAAAAUAUGACUUCAGUAGUUAAUAUUUUGUCUUUGGAGGCAUAUACUGUUACCACUCUUUAUAAAAUGGAAAGACAAAGAGAUUUAGGCAAAGUAUACUGAGUCUAGCACUAGAAGACUCAAUGUGGAAAAUAUCUCCCCCUUUUUAUAUAUAUUCCAAAUUCUUGGAUCCCUUGUAUAAAUAAGUUUGGAUUUUUAUUGUAUAUUUAAUUAGGGAAUUGUACAGAGUAUCUUCUCUUUCAUAUGACUUUCAGUAGAACCUGUUUCAUAAUAAGACAAUUCUAUAAUUUUAAGGCUGGAAGAACUAUUUAGGAUCUAUUAGUUUCCCAUUUUAUAGUUGAGGAAAUUGAGGUCAGGGAAGGUCCAAUGCAGGUUCAGAGGCAGGGCUGUGGUGUGGCUAUCUUUGAAUGAAACCAUGUACCAAGUCCUGAGGGGGAGAUAGAGCAAAUACUUUUUUUUUCCUUAUUUUUGGUGAUAAGAAAACAGACCCAAGGUGAGGUUUGCCCAGACCCAAUACCAUUACUUUUUUUUGUUUUAAAGAACACCUACAGGGACGCCUGGGUGGCUCAGUGGUUGAGCAUCUGCUCCCCGCCUCGGGCGUGAUCCCGGAGUUCGGGGAUCGAGUCCUACAUCAGGCUCCCUCCGGAGCCUGCUUCUCCCCUUCUCCCCUGCCUAUGUCUCUGCCUCUCUUUGUGUGACUCUCAGGAAUGAAUAGGUAAAAUCUUUAAAACAAAACUAACAAACAAAAAAAAAAAACACCACGUAUAAUUAUCCUCAUGAAUGGUUCUGCAAAUCAUUGAAAGCUAAAGGCAAAAGCCUUGAGAGAAGAGACUUUGUUGGGCAAAGUGAUGGUUCAUUUCAGGAACUCUGCUCAGAAUCUCAAGCUAUCCUAAACUGAUAAAAUCA
rnacentral:lncRNA from 1 species